ensembl:rRNA 5S_rRNA 5S ribosomal RNA
GCUUAUGGCCAUUCCACCCUGACCUUGGCUGAUCUUGGAAGUUAAGCAGGGUCGGGCCUGGUUAGUACUUGGAUGGGAGACAGCCUGGGAAUACCAGGUGCUGUAAGCU